CCUCUCUCAUCUCCUCCUCCCUCAAACUCUUGCAGCCACCAUCCCACAAACCCUAGCCCCACCCCCCCCCAUCUUCUCCUCUCCUAGGUGCAGCCCUCCCGCUUGAUCUACAUCGCAUGGGUGCAAAUCUCCAAUUGGAAUUUGGUGGAAGGAAGAAGGAGGGAGGAAAGGGGGAGAAGUCAAGGUGAUUUUGUGAUUAACUCUUGUUUAUUUGUGCAGCAAUUCAAUCGAUUAGAUGUUUAUGUAUGCGAAUUGGUAGAGGUGCUGUCCAGAAAUUUUGUGGGUGGGCGAACAGCAGUAGUUCUAGCAGUUUCUGGGAAUUUUUCGUGGGUAAUUAGUGGGAAUCAGAGGGAGAAUCAUGUAGAGCUUUGUAAUACCUUUCCAACGAGUACUUGUGCGUUCGAUUUGGAGUUAUAUUUAAGGAGAUAUCGCUGUUUGAAUCCGGGUAUGUUGCUGUCCAAAAAAACAGAUUUUGCAGGUGGGCGAACAGCAGUAGUAUUAGCAGUUUCUGGGGAUUUUUCGUGGGUAAUUAGUGAUAAUAAGUAUGAUAAUAAUGUAGAUCUUUGUCAUACCUUUCCAACGAGUACUUAUGCGCUCGAUUCGGAGUUAUAUUUUAGGAGAUAUCGCUGUUUGAAAUCCGGGAAUGCUGCUGUCCAAAAACAGAUUGCAGGGUUUAUCUUGUGGACUGUUUUGGGCUAAUUAGGGGUUAGAAUUUAAUUAUCAUUUGAAUAUAAAACUUGUGGGAAAUUUUAUGUAAAUGCUUCCGGAGUUUUUGAUUGAUAUCACUGCUGUUAUAAUUUUAAAGUUAUGAAAUUAUCAAGCAGCGCCGCUGCAGUUUGGGUGGUGAUGGGGAGAGUUGUCGCUUGCGACGGGUUAGAAUUGUGCGUAGGUGCGGCGUUGUUUAUUAGAGUUUGUUAUAUUAAUUUGUGCACUAAGGUGUGUGUCAAAAUCAGGUGGUGGACUUCCGGAUUGUACUUAGUACCAUUCCAAAUUCCCGGUGUAGGCAAGUAAAUACAGUGGUGGUUGCUACCGUUUGGUUUGCAGCCUAUGCCUUGUCAUUGAGUAUGCAUAAGUAUUAAAUGUGUUAAUCAUUGAAUUCUAUGAUGAAGUUUAUUUGUUCGAAAGUAUUAAUUCUCAAUUGUCUAAUAUUGCAGAUGAUCAUGAUUUGGGAAUGUUAUAUGUGGUUGAUUCCCAUCUUGGAUGAAGUUGAAGUAUCUUUUUGAAUCAUGUUAUAUGAAUUGCUGUAGGCAUGUCAUGCACAUCGCAUCAUCCAUCUUGCAUUUUGAAGUUAUGUCGUGAUCUUAUGGUCCGACCGUACCGGUACACUUUUAGCAUCGUACGUUGCCCGAGGAGGGGUACGAUGCGGCUUCAUAUCCUUAGAGGUAUAAAGGCAGAAGUCAUCCUUGCAUUUUCAGACAUUUGCACUCAUGAGGUAUAUAUGAAGUGUGACAUUACUAUGUUACUAUUGUGGUUUCUACCUGCGAGGUGUGGUAACUAGGUGUGUUGUACGUUGUAUUCGUGUUGCACCUUCGUAACAAGAAGGUUGUGAAAUUAAGUGGUGGUAAAACAAUGUUCUUAUGUGGUUGAAUAGUUUGUUAUUAUUUUACUUGCUGAGAUGUGUCAUCUCACUCUUGCAUUACUCAAUGCAGGUACUUGAUACAUGUUGGGAAUGAGGGGAGUAGCAGCACGUUCACUUUCACACUCAUAAUAACGCUGCCCAGGCGCAGCCAUGAUUUAAUUAGAAACUUGUUGUCAAAGGAUGUUUGUUUUUUAACUAGUCGUGUGCACUGGUUAAUUCAGUUCAUGUCGUAUGUUUAACUUCCCUUUGCUAGCCGAUUAAUAAUACUUAGUAUAUUUUUGUCAUAAUAUAUGUUUAUACACUGUUGCCCCCUCAUUUAUGCAAUUUAGCAAAGGAGAUGUUGCCGAAAUUUUAUAUACAGAUGUCAGAAGUGUAGUUCAGUAGCAUUCCGGGGUGUUUGUGGAUCCCGGGGUGUUAUAGUUGGUAUCAGAGCAUAGGCUUUAGAUUCUACGCAAUUUCAAGAUAAAUUUGACACACUUGCACAUAUAGGAAGGGUAUGGGUUCGUAUAUCUUUCAUAUUAGUAUUUUAUUGUAUAGAUGACUAGAAUUCCCUUACUCCAAAUCCCUUUAUGGAUUGAUGGGAUAUGUCAUUAACGACUUAAUGCUUGAUAUUGUAUGUUACUUCUAUUUAAUAUGGGUUUCUUGAUGUGGUUGUUAUUGAAGUUAUUAUGCAAGUGAAGCGACUAAUGUACUUGUUUUGUAUACAUAUCGUCAUGAUGUUUUUUUUGAUGCGAUGUUUUUCAAAUCUCUGAGCUAUUACUAUCAUAUAUUUCUAUAUGCGUGACUAUGGACGAUUUUUAAAUGGAUUUUUUUUGGGUUCUAGUACUUGUAGGACCGAUUGUUUAUUGAGUUUGUGUAUAGUGGGUCUAAUCCGGCUUGGUGUGGUGUGAAAACACUAUAUAAUGUAGUUUUAUCAUGUUGUUGAGUCUGAUUGAAUGUUGGGUUACAACCCAACUUAUCAAUGUAAUAUUUCCAUGGAUGCAAUGCUUUGUGCCUCACCGUUUUGGGCUAAUAUGGCUACUUGCCAACUUGAUCUUAGAGUACGAUAGGUUUGUCUCCAUAGAGCAAAGGCAAUGUUGUACUGUCUAUGAAAUCUUGAGACUGGUAGAACUCAAGUGAAUUUGUAAGAUGACGUGGGUAGAUAAGUUCAACCAUGUUUACAUGAUAGGUUUUCUUAUUGUGUGCAACCUUAUAUUUAGAAAUAAAUAGGGUGAUUUCAAGUGGAUUUUAUGUCUAUAUUAUAAUUGAAGAGGCAUGCAUGUUUUCCAUCUAUGGUUUGUUUCUAUAGCCAAAAGGGUUAUGCAUAAUUUUUAUUUGUUGGAGGCUACUCAUGUGGACGAUAUGGACAACCCGUUUUAUAUUUUUUUAAUCGCCAAAGAUAUAUGGUAGUUUUAUUUUUUUAUGAUUAGUUCUCUAUGCAUGCUUGUUGAAUUAUUAUUUGGACCGCUUUGUCUUAAACAAAGUCAAUGCUUAACUGGAAGUUGCUUAUGUUUGUUAGUCAUCUAUCUCUAUAAUGAUGUGGUUGUUGCAUCAGAUGAUGAUUUUUUUUCAUAUGAAUGAUGGUUUGAUAGAUCAUGUAUGUCUACUACUUUGAAUUCAUCCUAUGACAUCACGAGGUACAAAUUGGUCAAGUGCAAUAAUAGGAGGUAUUGUUGUAUGUGAGGUUAAUCAAGGUAGUUUAGUUAGAUGGAUUGUCUUAUUGAAGUCCAAUUACUCCUGUUGAGCAUAGUAUCGUGUUAUUAUUUUAGUGUUGAAAGUAAUAUUUAUGAAGCUUUUGCAUGAGUCUGUAUCAAGAAGAACAUUAGUUUUUCUUGUUGUUAUCCCUCCAUUGCUUUAUAAGUGUUGCACAUUUUAUCUCUUUUGAGAGGAAAAAAAGACGUUAUAUGGCAUGAGCACCAUUUGCUUCACGUCAACAGAAUAGUUUUGGAGAUUUCUAGUAGUUGGAUACUAGUAUAAUAACAACCAUGUUUUAUAGUGCUUGAGACGGGUAUGUCAGGUGUUUCAUACAUUGUCGAUACAUGGAUGUUUGACCUUAGUGGUAUUAGCAAACGAGGUUGUUGAAUUCGUUGAUUGUGGUGCUUAGUGUUCUAACCUAUUUUGGUAGAGUUUUAUUUAAAGACUUUGUGGAGUUGCAUCCCAGGUUGGUAAUGGAAAAUCCUAGUGUUGAUUGCACCUGCCAAUGCCUUAGGUUUCAUUUUAUAUUGUUCUUUUAUUGUUGUUAAUGUGUUAUUUGGUUUUGGGAGGCAUUUUAAAUUAGUUGGAGGUUGAAUCAGGCUUCACUUAUCUAGAAUGUUUUGUAGUAUGUUUCUUCAUCUUUCCAUAGGAUGCUUAAUCACCCGGUUUGGUCUAAACAUUUGAGAGUUAUGGGUUUCCUAAAACAUCCUUGUUGGUGUCUCUGGUAGAAUGAGUCUUUAAUUUUGUACGGAAGAGUAGACAUUGAAGACGGUAUAAUUUGGUCUUUGUUGGAUUAUGAAAGUUUUAGUAAUUUCAUGAUCUUUCCAAAGAGUAUUGGUUUGUAAUUUUCAUUGCAUAUAAUUGGAGUUAGGCUGCUCUGAAGUUGUCGCACCGUUGUGUCUGAACUUUAGGUGUCGUUAUAACCACCAAUAAAUCGACUACGUUUUGAUAGUUUCAGAGCCCAAAUUUGGGAAUUCUCUUUAAGCAAAACUGUUAGUUCUUCUCAGUACCUUUUAAAUGGGUAUUUACUUGUAAUUGUCGGUUAAAUAGAUUGGGAGAGGUGGUUGUCCGGAUAUAAGUCGAAUCUCUAAUGUGCAGUAUCUCAGGCUGAGUUUAGCUGUAGGUCAUGCAGAGUUGAGGGCUAUAAAGAUAAAUUUGGGUGCAACUUUAUUGCAAAAGUCGUGGACAAUUUUCAACUUUUCCAACGUGUGUUCGUUGUAGUUUUAAGUUGAGUAUAGCAGGAGUUAUAGGUUUUUGAAUUUUAGUUGUCCAUUGUUUCUAUCCUAUCAGUUUUGCAACAAAAGAGUUGCAUUGUUUUAUCGGGUUGGAAACCAAUUUCGAGACCCUCAUUAUAAUAAAGUUUUUGGGAAUGUUAUAAUCUUUUCAAUGAGUUUAUAUUUGCAAAAUUUUGUUAGCUGCAGGGAGUUAUGAUAUUUUGAAUUUAUGUGUCAUGUUUCGUCAGGUUCUGGUGGCAGAUCAUGUAUGUCGCUUUACAAGUCAAAUUAAAAAUGGUAGAUGAAAAAAAUUGUUUAUCCUUUGAAUACGAAAGUUGUAGAUCAUGAAGUUUAGAUGAUUUUACACUAUUUCAUUGUUAUCAUUGCUUUUAUAGUGAGAGGUGGAGACAAAAUGAACAUUUGCGCUAUUGAUUGUCAAUUUUCUAUUUAGGGAAUUUUUUUCAUGGGAAUUUGGUUUAGUUGUGGUGAGCUCUUUCGCAAUCCAUGUUAAUUAAGUUGUGUGGUGGGAGGGAAUAGACGUAGUGGUUGGGAUGGUUAUCUUGUUUAUGUAUAUGUGGAGCGUGGCUGAAACACAGAGAUAGCGAGGAACGUUUGAAUAAGCCAGUACAUAUUGUUGUGAAGCCACGUUUUCUAGUAUUGGCGUGAUUGCGUAAGUAUGAAAUAGUUACGUCAUGUGAAGUCUAGGUUGAGUUGCAAUUUGUCUGAGUUAUUGGAUAUAUAUAUAUAUAUAUAAUUAAAAAAAAGAGAGAGUUCUUCUAUGGGAUGAUAUAAUAUAUAGAAUGUGCUUGGAUGAAUAUGUAUGCAGGCAUAACAUGCUUAAAUUGAUUCUUAUUUGCAUGAUGUGAGAAUAGGCUUAAAAUGAUUUAAAAAGUUAUCAUAUUGCUUCUAUACUUAUAUUUGUUCUAAGUGUCUCGUAAUGAAGAACCUAAAGUUAUUAGUCUUUCGAUGAACGCUUAAUCUUAGAAGAGUAAUGAACCUGAAUAAAAUCUAUUGCUUGUUGUUAGGACUGCAUGACCAGUUUUAGUGAUGCAGCUAGUUCAAUGAAGUAAACCAUAUUUUCUGUAGAGAUGCUAUAUAUAAAAGUUGUAGCCAACUUCUUUAUCUUACUUGUGUAAAAAUUUCAUGACUAUAGGUCUAGUAGUUUGGGAGUUAUGAUUUUCUCAAGUCCAGUCUUGGAGUCUGUCUAGAUUCUGUACAGAUUUCGAAACUGACCAUGUUUGCCCAAUUUAAACUUUGAAUAAGUUCUUAUAAAUUAUAAAGAAGUUGUAGUACUUUUCUUAAUAUUUUCAACAAAUUUUGGAUCACCUUUUUUGGAGAUCUAUAAGUUAAGUUACAGCUGUUUUAAGUGUGAUCUCUGAAUCUGUCCAAAUUUGGACAGCAGAGCCUUUCUCAAGUCUUUUGACCUUGAUAUGCAUUGAAUUAACUUGAUAUGUUAUAAAUGAAUUAUAGACAAUUCUACUAGCUUUCUAAAAAGUGUAGGAGCACCUGAAUUGGAUGACUGAGACUCCAAUUAGGGAUUUUUUGAAUUGAGUAGUUGAAUUCUGUCCAAGUCUGGACAGAAUUUACGUUUAGCAUUGUUUGACCUUUCUAAGUGUCAAAUCUUGUUGUGAUGAUAAUACCAAGGGUAUAGUGGACUUUAUAAUAUUUCCAUAAAUUCCUAGUUUACUAUUUUUGGAUGCAUAUUUUGUGAGUUAUGAGCAAAGCAAUUAACCAUUGGGCUGCUGUCUAGAAAUAUGCAAGCGUUAAGUUGCUCUCUUGAAGUUGCUCUUGUUUGGCUAAGUUUGGUUUAGGCUACAGGGACAUUAUAUGCAUUGCAUUCAUAUAUACAUUCAUUGAAGUGCUUGCAUAUGUCAAUGUUGAUUUGGUGUCAGGAAGCUUUGUCCGAGGUAUAUAGGACCGUCUACUAUCUUAGCCGAGUUGGCAGCUGGGCUUAGCACAUGCAAUUGUCGGAAUCUAUGAUCAGAGUACACCAUGUAUUCCAUGUCUUUAUGUUGAGGAAGUAUUUGAGGAACCCAGACCAUCAAAUCGAGCUAGAGCCGAUUCCCGUGUAGCAAGACCAGACUCUAGAGUGUCGUCUCCUGCGUAUCUUAGAAUCCUAGGAGCUUGAGGAGUUGAUGCGGCAGAAGUACCUGAACUUUUCGUUACGUGUGAGUUUUGUUGAUUCAUUAAUCUUUCUUGUGUCGUUCCGAUAGAAGCAUCGGAAUUCAAGGUCGAAUUCUUUUUAGGGGGUAGAGUUUGAUAUCCAAUUUUCAAAAAAAGAAGAGAAAUUGAAGAUUAUUCUUUUUUUGUUUUCUCUUCCGGGUCCUGUGCUACAGGGGUUUGGAAUUUUGGGAAGCAUUCACCAGUAAAACAGUAUAAUUUUUUGUUAGACUCAUGCGCUGGGGUCGGGAGUUGUCGUGUGAGCGAGUUGGACCGUGAAACUCGAUCCGGCCCACUAGCCCCCUAACCCUAGCCGCCCUCCCCCUAAUCCCCUUCCCCCUUGUGUAGCCGCCCCCCUCUCUAGUCUUUGUGCAGCCGCCCCCCCUCUCUCAUAUCCUCCUCCCUCAAACUCUUGCAGCCACCAUCCCACAAACCCUAGCCGCCCCCCCCCCCAUCUUCUCCUCUCCUAGGUGCAGCCCUCCCGCUUGAUCUACGUCGCGUGGGUGCAAAUCUCCAAUUGGAAUUUGGUGGAAGGAAGGAGGGAGGAAAGGGGGAGAAGUCAAAGUGAUUUUGUGAUUAACUCUUGUUUAUUUGUGCUGCAAUUCAAUCGAUUAGAUGUUUACGUAUGCGAAUUGGUAGAGGUGCUGUCCAGAAAUUUUGUGGGUCGGCGAACAACAGUAGUUCUAGCAGUUUCUGAGCAUUUUUCGUGGGUAAUUAGUGGGAAUCAGUGGGAGAAUCAUGUAGAGCUUUGUAAUACCUUUCCAACGACUUAUGCACUCGAUUCGGAGUUAUAUUUUAGGAGAUAUCGCUGUUUGAAUCCGGGUAUGUUGUUGUCCAAAAAAACAGAUUUUGCAGGUGGGCGAACAGCAGUAGUAUUAGCAGUUUCUGGGGAUUUUUCGUGGGUAAUUAGUGAUAAUCAAUAUGAUAAUAAUGUAGAGCUUUGUCAUACCUUUCCAACGAGUACUUAUGCGCUCGAUUCGGAGUUAUAUUUUAGGAGAUAUCGCUGUUUGAAUCCGGGUAUGCUGCUGUCCAAAAAUAGAUUGUAGGGUUUAUCUUGUGGACUGUUUUGAGCUAAUUAGGGGUUGGAAUUUAAUUAUCAUUUGAAUAUAAAACUUGGGGGGAAUUUUAUGUAAAUGCUUUUGGAGUUUUUGAUUGAUAUCACUGCUGUUAUAAUUUUAAAGUUAUUAAAUUAUCAAGCAGCGCCGCUGCAGUUUGGGUGGUGAUGGGGAGAGUUGUCGCUCGCGACGGGUUGGAAUUGUGCGUAGGUGCGGCAUUGUUUAUUAGCGUUUGUUAUGUUGAUUUGUGCACUAAGGUGUGUCAAAAUCAGGUGGUGGACUUCCGGAUCGUACUUAGUACCAUUCCAAAUUCCCGGUGAAGGCAAGUAAAUACAGUGGUGGUUGAUACCGUUUGGUUUGCAUCCUAUGCCUUGUCAUUGAGUAUGCAUAAGUAUUAAAUGUGUUAAUCAUUGAAUUCUAUGAUGAAGUUUAUUUGAUCGAAAGUAUUAAUUCUCAAUUGUCUAAUAUUGCGUAUGAUCAUGAUUUGGGAAUGUUAUAUGUGGUUGAUUCCCAUCUUGGAUGAAGUUGAAGUAUCUUUUUGAAUCACGUUAUAUGAAGUGUUGUAGGUAUGUCAUGCACAUCGCAUCAUCCAUCUUGCAUUUUGAAGUUAUGUCGUGAUCUUAUGGUCUGACCGUACCGGUACACUUUUAGCAUCGUACGUUGCCCGAGGAGGGGUACGAUACGGCUUCAUAUCCUUAAGGUAUGAAGGUAGAAGUUAUCCUUGCAUUUGGAGACAUUUGCACACAUGAGGUAUAUAUGAAGUGUGACAUUACUAUGUUACUAUUGUGGUUUCUACCUGCGAGGUGUGGUAACUAGGUGUGUUGUACGUUGUAUUCGUGCUGCACCUUCGUAACAAGAAGGUUGUGAAAUUAAGUGGUGGUAAAACAAUGUUCUUAUGUGGUUAAACAGUUUGUUAUUAUUUUACUUGCUGAGAUAUGUCAUCUCACUCUUGCAUUACUCAAUGCAGGUACUUGAUACAUGUUGGGAAUGAGGGGAGUAGCAAUACGUCCACUUUCACUAUCAUAAUAACACUGCCCAGGUGCAACCAUGAUUUAAUUAGAAACUUGUUGUCAAAGGAUGUUUGUUUUUUUAACUAGUCGUGUGCACUGGUUAAUUCAGUUCAUGUUGUAUGUUUAACUUCCCUUUGCUAGUCGAUUAAUAAUACUUAGUAUGUUUUUUGUCAUGAUAUAUGUUGCAACAGAUUGAAC
rnacentral:lncRNA from 1 species